rnacentral:rRNA from 1 species
CACCGCGGUUAUACGAGAGGCCUAAGUUGACAGACACCGGCGUAAAGAGUGGUUAAGGAAUAACAAAAACUAAAGCCGAAUAUCCUCAAGACUGUCAUACGUUACCGAGGACAAGAAGACCCACUACGAAAGUGACUUUAAUUUUCCUGACCCCACGAAAGCUGUGAUA